AUGGCGGCCAGCCAUGCCCACUCGCCGACCCUUUCCUCGUCCGAAACCAUAAUGGCCGCCCUCCUAUCAUCCGUUCCCGCCGUGCGGCUCCCUUCGCUCGUCCGGGCGCUUGCCGCAGACGCGCGCCGGCAGCGCGGCCGCCUCGCAUUCCUCCUCCUCUCGCUGCCGCAUUUCGCCCGCGCCCUCGCGCGGCUCCGCUCCAUGCCGCUCCCAGCCAAGGCCGCGCUGCUCGGCCGCGUGCUCCUCCGCUCACUCCUCAUGCUGCUCCCGGCGCUCUCCCCCGACGGCUCCCACCACCUUCUACGCCUCCCGACGCCCGACCUCGACGCCGCGCUCCUGCUCGUGGCCAUGUGCGACUCCUACUCCCCGGCCGCCUCCUCCGCGUCGCCCGUGGACUGGCACGCGCUGCUCGUCGACGACGUGGUGCGCAACGCGCUCUCCAUCUCCGGCCUCGGCGGCACGCCUUGGGCCACUGUCGCCCCCUACCUCGACGCGGCCGCUAAGUGCCGCCGGUUCGCGGACGUCGUGUCGGAGGACCGCGCCGUGGCCGGCGUCGGCAGCGGCAACAAGGACAGCGUGGGGCGCGGAGGCGCGUCGCACGCGACCGUGCUGGCGCUGCCGACCGCGCCCGGGGACGGGACCCCGUGCGCGAUCUGCAGGGAGGAGAUGGCGCCCGGGCGCGGCGGGGUGUGCGUGCUGCGUCCCUGCGGGCACCGAUUCCACUGGCCGUGCGCGCUGCGGUGGCUGGCGCGCCGCAACACCUGCCCGUGCUGCCGCGCCGAGCUGCCCGCGGAGGACGCGCUCGCCGAGACCCGGCGCCUGUGGCGCGCGGUCGACAGGAUGGCGGGAGACAGCGGCGGCUGUGCGUGA
rnacentral:rRNA from 1 species